rnacentral:rRNA from 1 species
CAAUAGCGUAUAUUAAAGUUGUUGCGGUUAAAAAGCUCGUAGUUGGAUUUCUGCCGAGGACGACCGGUCCGCCCUCUGGGUGAGUAUCUGGCUUGGCCUGGGCAUCUUCUUGGAGAACGUAGCUGCACUUGACUGUGUGGUGCGGUAUCCAGGACUUUUACUUUGAGGAAAUUUAGAGUGUUUCAAGCAGGCAUGCGCCUUGAAUACAUUAGCAUGGAAUAAUAAGAUAGGACCUCGGUUCUAUUUUGUUGGUUUCUAGAGCUGAGGUAAUGAUUAAUAGGGACAGUUGGGGGUAUCGUAUUCUAAUUGUCAGAGGUGAAAUUCUUGGAUUUCUUAGAAGACGAACUACUGUACGAAGCUAUUUACCAAGGAUGUUUUCAUUAAUCAAGAACGAAAGUUAAGGGGUAGUCG